CUUUUUUUUUAACUUGUUAGUGAAUUUAAUUUUAAGUCUUAUAUAAUGUACUACUAAGCUUGCACCUUAUCCCCACUUGUAUACACUUUUACCUCACAAAGGCAUUUAGAUUCCAUUUUUGUAUGGGCACCCUGAAGAUUUUAUAUACCACAUUUCUAAUAUCAAGUUUGGCUUGUCACCUUUGUCUUUAGUCUGUGUAUUAUCUGAAAAAAAUAUAUAUAUAAAUUUAUGUCACUUUGUUUCUCUUUAGAUAAUCGGAGCCAAGAAAGACACUGAAAGAAAUGUAUACAGAAUUCAUGUAGUCAAAGGUUAAAAGGAACUUGAAACUUACCACUUGAAAAAUGUGAUAAAGAGAUAUCAUAAUACAGUCAUAUAAUUUUCAUUUCCCUUCCAGUUGCCCUCUCAAUAUUGCUGAUUCCCAAAGUGUUGUACUUGUUGUGAAUUACGUCUGGUAAAAAUUGUUCCAGCCAUUCGAUGUAAAUGAAUUAGACCAGCACUUGCAUCACAGAGCAUUGUCAUGAUUAUUAUACAAAAUCUUUUACACUUUCAUUUUUUUAUCCCCCGCCGAUGAAAUCGGGAGGGGGGUAUUGAAAUGGCGUUGUCCGUCCGUCAGUCCGUCCGCAGCCAUUUCUCAGUAACUACUUGGUAGAAUUUCAUGAAACUUGAAAUAAACAUGAACCAACAUACUGCGAUGAUGCCCGUCAAUUUUUUUUUUUUGAUUGGUCAAUUUCCCUCAGAGUUAUUGCCCUUGAUUUAAUAAAAAAUGUCCAUCUGCAGCCAUUUCUCAGUAACUAACAGGUAGAAUUUCAUCAAAUUUGAAAUAGACAUGAACCAAGAUACUGUGCUGAUGCCCGUCAAGUUUUUUUUUUUGAUAGGUCAAUUUCCGUCAGAGUUAUUGCCCUUGAUUUAAUGAAAAAUGUCCAUCUGCAGCCAUUUCUCAGUAACUAGCAGGUAGAAUUUCAUCAAACUUGAAACAGACAUGAACCAAGAUACUGCGACGAUGCCCUUCAAGUUUUUUUUUUGAUUGGUCAAUUUUCCAUAUAGUUAUUGCCCUUUAAUUGUUUAAAAAUCCACAGAUCUGUACAUAACAAACCAACCAAUUGGAAGAAUUUCAUUAAACUUCUUUCAUUCUUUUCCAUGAACAUUUAUUAUAAACAUGUGAUGUUGUGUACCUACACCUGGUCGCCACUUACCUUGGUCCCCCCCCCCUACCCCCCAUUUUUUUUUUUUUUUUUUUUUUUUUUUUUUUCAUUUUUCAUUUUCUAUCAAUAUUUAUAAUCAACAUGUAAACUGUUGUAUCCUCACCCCACCCCCCCAGCCCCACCCAAACAAACCAUUCAUUUUCUUUUAAUUUGAUUUUGACUAAUGAAAUUGUUUGCUUCUUGGUAACAUUCUUAACUUUUUGCUGGAUAUAUUUUUUUGCCAUUCAUGAACUCUGACCCUUUCGGCGGGGGAUUCCAAUUCAUUGAAUUUGCUUGUUUUUUUACUUUUUAAAAAGCUCAGUGGCUCAACUUUUGUUGUUAUUGUCUCUUGCAUUUCAGACUCAGUUGACCUUUCUGACAAAGGUUAAAGGCAUUGAUCAGUAGAGUAGUCCUUAGUGCUGUAUUUUUAACCAGGUUUUCAACGAAAACCUGAGUUACUAGAUUGGGGUAUGUCGUUGGUCGGGCGGGCGGAUGGGCGGGCAGCGGCGUCAAACUGGUGUUUCCGGUCAAUAACUUUUGUUUUAUUAAAGAUAUUUGAAUAAAACUUGGUAUGUAUGUAGCUUAUAUCAAGACAAAGGCUGGGAUUGAUUUUGGGGUUUCUGGGGUCAAGGUCAAGGUCAAUGUUACUUAAAAUAGAAAAAGGGUUUCCGGUCAAUAAAUUUUGUUUCGGUAAAGAUAUUUGAAUAAAACUUGGUAUGUAUGUAGCUUGUAUCAAGACAAAGGCUGGGAUUGAUUUUGGGGUUUCUGGGGUCAAGGUCAAGGUCACUGUUACUUAAAAUAGAAAAAGGGUUUCCAGUCAAUAACUUAACUUAGGAAUGAGCUAUCAUGAUGAAACUUGGUGUAUAGAAAACUUAUAUAAAGUUGUAGCUUUGGAUUGAUUUUGGGGUUUUUGGGAUCAAGGUCAAGGUCAUUGUUACUAAAAAUAGGGUUAGGUUAGGGUUAGGGUUGUGGUGCACUGUGAUUCAGUACACUUUUUUAUUCUUAUGAAAAGUGUUGAAAACCUGGUUUCGUGGCAUUGCCGCGUUUCUUGUUAUUGUAUAGAAAGACUGAUUUGAAUCAGAAUAUAAAUGAUCGAGAAACAUGAACUUUGAUAGUCAUUUCAGAACUUUUUACUUUCAUUAAGGUGAAUGAACAUUUUACUUUCAUUAAGGUACAACUAUGAAGGUUGUUCUCUUGUUCUGGAUUGUACAUCUAGGAUGAUUAUUUUCCAUUACUCAAAACAAUAUUUUUUACCUUGUAUAUUUCGCCUUAUCGCACAGCCUUUAUCAGCAAAGUGCCAAGUCAGUGUUACAUAGCGUCAUGUUACAAUUGGUGAUUACGUAACACUAGGAGAGUGUUGUAAGCUGGAGGUAACUCCAGCCCCUCAUCCCGGUUAAGUGAUCAACAAUUGUCACGUGACACUAUGCAACAGUGACGAGGCACUUUGCUGACGAAGGCUGUGCGAUACGGCCGAAAUAUACAAGGUAAAAAAUAUUGUUCUGAGUAAUGGAAAAUAAUCAUCCUAGAUUCAUUAAGGUAGUUCUGCAUGGAUCAAAAUUUUUUAUAUAUUGUAGAAUGUGAUUAAACUCUAAUUUUUUAAAACUUAAGAAUAUAUUUAGAAAAUUUGGCAAAUAAAAAAGAUAGGAUGGAGUGCUUGAUUUUGAUCUUAAAGAUUUGGACCUCACAUGUUUUCUUAAUAUGCAGCUAUGGAAAACACGGUUUUGAUCACUUUUUUGAUAAUAGAAAUUUUUCUGUAAUGAAGAAUUUAAAAUUCUCAUAGUUGUAAGUAAAUAAUGGUGUGUGAUAUGAUGAAAAAAAAUGUACAAAAUAUAUUGGUCCCCAUGCUUGUUUAUUUAGGUAUUUGUACAUAUUUAAAGAGAUCUGCACAUUACACGCUGGUUUUAAGACAUUAUUUAAAUUCGAAGGUUUUAAUAUCAUAUGUCCUUUUUAGAAAGAUAGUAACAUUGCGGUUUAAAUAUUUACUCACAGGUUGCCAUUUAUUCAUAGAAACAUUUCUCAUUUCCAUAUACCCAGUCCAGGUGUUAUUCUAUGUUAUCAUGAUGUUACGCCAUUACUUCUGGUUUAUCAGACAUGCAGAACUACCUUAAAAUUCAUUGUCACAGUGUCCAACCAUUCCUAUUGUCACUACACACUCCAGUGCACCAUUUUCAUAUAAAUCCCUACUACCUUCCAUUUAUGUGAUUGUAAUGAGUAUGUACAAGUGUUACUGUAGAUUUCAUUUCUCUCUUACCUGGUAGAAGCCCCAGACAUUUCAGGUGUAGAUAGCCAAUCUUUUUUAUAUUUUCUAGAAACUGUAGAAAGUUUUUCAUGAAAGAGUAUAAUGCCUUUCUGUGUGUCAUUAACCUACUUUUGUCAAAAAGAUUGGUUCUUGAUAAAAUAUGACUAUACCCAUAUUAACAUAGUAUGAAUUUUCUAUUUCUAAUACCCAGGUGAGAGACUCGGAGUCCAUUUUGGACUCUGGUACUUAGUAAUAUUGUAAAUGUUUUUAAUGUUUUAAUUUAUUUCAAGGAAUGAUUGUCAGUAGAAAUUUGUUAAAUGAUGAAAUUUGGGAGUAUGUUUUCCAAUGUUAUAUUAAUGUUCAAUAAAUAAUUUCUAUUUUA